rnacentral:rRNA from 1 species
UACGUAGGGUGCGAGCGUUAAUCGGAAUUACUGGGCGUAAAGCGUGCGCAGGCGGUUUUGUAAGCCAGAUGUGAAAUCCCCGGGCUUAACCUGGGAAUGGCAUUUGGGACUGCAAGGCUCGAGUGCGGCAGAGGAGACUGGAAUUCCUGGUGUAGCAGUGGAAUGCGUAGAUAUCAGGAGGAACACCGAUGGCGAAGGCAGGUCUCUGGGCUGACACUGACGCUCAUGCACGAAAGCGUGGGGAGCAAACAGG